GUGAGGAAUAUUGGUCAAUGGGCGGGAGCCUGAACCAGCCAAGUCGCGUGAAGGAAGAAGGAUCUAUGGUUCGUAAACUUCUUUUGCAGGGGAAUAAAGUGCAGGACGUGUCCUGUUUUGUAUGUACCCUGAGAAUAAGGAUCGGCUAACUCCGUGCCAGCAGCCGCGGUAAUACGGAGGAUCCGAGCGUUAUCCGGAUUUAUUGGGUUUAAAGGGUGCGUAGGUGGUUUGAUAAGUCAGCGGUGAAAGUUUGCAGCUUAACUGUAAAAAUGCCGUUGAAACUGUCGGACUUGAGUGUAGAUGAGGUAGGCGGAAUGCGUGGUGUAGCGGUGAAAUGCAUAGAUAUCACGCAGAACUCCGAUUGCGAAGGCAGCUUACUAAGCUACAACUGACACUGAAGCACGAAAGCGUGGGGAUCAAACAGGAUUAGAAACCCUUGUAGUCC
rnacentral:rRNA from 1 species